AACGAACGCUGGCGGCAUGCCUAACACAUGCAAGUCGAACGAGACCUUCGGGUCUAGUGGCGCACGGGUGCGUAACGCGUGGGAAUCUGCCCUUGGGUUCGGAAUAACAGUUAGAAAUGACUGCUAAUACCGGAUAAUGUCUUCGGACCAAAGAUUUUAUCGCCCAGGGAUGAGCCCGCGUAGGAUUAGCUAGUUGGUGAGGUAAAGGCUCACCAAGGCGACGAUCCUUAGCUGGUCUGAGAGGAUGAUCAGCCACACUGGGACUGAGACACGGCCCAGACUCCUACGGGAGGCAGCAGUGGGGGAAUAUUGGACAAUGGGCGAAAGCCUGAUCCAGC
rnacentral:rRNA from 1 species